rnacentral:siRNA from 1 species
CGAUCCCCCGCAUCUCCACCA